ensembl:lncRNA
AAGAAAAGAAAUGGGCCCGGCAGGUGGGGGGCGGGGGCCGGCAGACUGGGGAAGGGGGCUACCCUCCCCUAGGUGGCAGUCUGGCCCUGGCUGUCUGUCCUUUCCUGCUGAUCGGUCCAGGCACAGCCCCAGGAUGCCUUCCCCGCUGCUGCCUCCUCUCCCUCUGGAAACAGCCCUCUCCCCUGACUCGUGUAGACCACGGCCCCGGAGGAUGACUCAGCCUGAGCCCUGGAGCCAGCUGUCCCUCUGCCUCCUCCUCCUCCCCAGCUGUCCCCCUCUGGCAGAAGUUCCCGGGACGUGAUUGUCACCAACCCCAGGCUGGCUGUGCCAGGAUGGCUGCGGCCAGCACCCGAGGGCGGGGUGGCUCUGCCUGCAUGUCCUCCGGGCCGGCCUCUGGCCAGGGCACUCAUGCCCUUUGAGUCAGGGGGCCCUGCUCACCCCUUACUGGUGAGCCCCCUUCAGAUAAACAUGAGAACCUCAGGUCCUCUUGUACUUUUAAAGUCAUUUCCAUAUUUUGACCAAAGGAAACCGAAUUUUAGAAUUUGCUCUUUCAGGCUACUCUCAGCUUGGGACCCCAGUCUGGUCCAUCCCACCAGCCCCCUUGGGAAUCUCAAUUUACUGAACCCCUGACACAUAGAUCAAGUUUCCCCUUGGGUGGAUGGGGAAACUGAGGCUCAGAGGAGAAAAGGGACUUGCCCAAGGUCAGCCGCUGGAAGGGACAGGCUUGGGGGGUGGGGCUCCCAGCACCAGGGUCCCCAGGAAAUGGAAUUCUGAGAGGACAGCUGUGGGCCUAGCCUUCCAGGGCCAGGAGGGGGGCCACUGUGACCCUUAGUGGCCCAACAGUCAAAUGAUAGCAGCAGCUGCUUAGUAAGCUCGAGUCUCAAACCUUUAUUCCCUUUUUCAUCCACGAAUUCAUUUAGGGCCUGGGUUGGAAGACCAGCUCCAGUAAACUUAGUGCUCUGUGACUUUGGGCAAGUCAGUUAACCUCUCUGGGACUCAGUCUCCUCAUCGAUAAGAGGGGUGUGAUGAUAACAGCGCCUGCCUCCCAGGGCUGGAGUGAAGAGGGAAUGAGUCACUGUGUGGACAGUGCGUAGAAAGCGCCCAGCACUGUCGGGGGCCUGAGGAAGGUGAGCUGACAUUGUUAUUAGGAUUCCUGGUGACUGCAUGUGUGGCAGAGCCACUUCCACUCCCCUGGUGAGAAACUGCAGCCUGGGACCCUUCACCAGAGAGAGAAAGAAACUCAGGGAGCAGGCCCGCUUCCUGCUGCCACCCCCCGUGGGGCUGCUGCCCGAGCGCACGGGCGUGACCAAUGGUGAAGGGCGAGCGGGAACCCCGGGUGCUCUUCCAGGGGAUUGGUGGACGUGAAUUCAUUCGACCUCAUGAAGGCCUUGGGGUUCACCCUGUGGUGCUCAUGCCCAACCAUUUGCUGUUCCUGGAAUAUCCUGGGCUCUCCCACGUCCCCGUCACUUUGCAUGCUCUGGUCCGUCUUCCCUCCCAAAAGAGAGACUUUCUGGUCAGCUCGGACUCACUCCUGGAGUCCCACUUUGGGGAGCAUGUCCUCUCCCCCUGCCGGCCCAGCCUGGAACAGGCCCCGCGCUUGCCGGCAUGGCCUCCCUCAGGGCACUGACCACAUGGUGCUCUAUCCUCGACGCUGUGUCUGCAGGGACCCCAGCAACAAGGACUGUUGGCAAGCUGUGGGCCAAUGGGUGGAAUCCAGGGCUGGUCACGGAGAGCAGCUGAUUCUGCUCCUCAUGCAAAGGGAGGGGGCAGCUGUGGGAACUGGGAAGGGGAAACACCCUGGAGAGGCCCCUGCAGGAAAUGUGGGUUCUCCUGGAGGGAUGGAGCCAGCCUGCGGCUACCCAGCAGGGCAGGGUCAGGGGAGCAGACGGUCCAGCUUCACUCUCCCCAAACUCCAACCUCCAGCACUUCCCCACUGCAAGCCGAGGGCGGGGAGCCCGGGAUGCUGUCCAUCGGGUUGGCCUUCAGGCAGAGAGCAGGGGGCUGGGAGGAGAGUGGGUCUGGAGAGGCAGAGAGAGACCCCGAGCUCUCGUGUCUGUCUCCCUGCCAUGCCGUGAGGCCCAGCGCCGAUGGAGAGCAAGUGUAGAGGCUUCACAGUGUGUCUGCACGUCCUCGGGCUGUCCCUCCGUCAAGAGAUGGAACCCAGGUCCCCUCGCUGGAACACGGCUGGGUCGGUGACGGGCUCCUCAAGAGCGGAAUGUGGGGGGGGUCACUGUGUGAUCCGAAGGGCGAGGUCACGAAAGCGAGGCAGCGUCCGCCCGGCCGUGUCUCUUGGGUCCCUUGCGCUUGCAACCAAGUGUCCACAUUACAAGGAAGCCGAGUGACCACGUGGCUGUAUCCAGCAGACAGCAGGCCGCGGUGUGGGCGAGCCUGGAGACGAGGACUGCAGCCCAGACCCCGAGCGACCUGAGCCUGCGCCCCCUCACUGCGCUGGUUGACCCCGAGAGCAGGGAGAGGCCAUAAUAAAAUAUUGAACUGUUGUGUUUGAAACGAUUACAUUCCGGAGUGAUUUCUUAUGCAGCAGUGAAAAUCCGAACAGCACGUGUGUCACAGAUGUUUGGUGAAGGAACUCUCUUGGGUACCUGAUUAGGUGGAAUUUCUUUUUAAGAGAAGCUGCCAUGUAAAGCAUCCCAGAGUUUCCAUCGAGUGGCAGCGACCUCAGGUCCCCUGGAGCGGUUCCCUCUGCUCUGGAGAGGCCCUCAGUGACCCCUUGGAGACACUCUCACACAAGGUGAGAGGUGAGAUACGAGUGACCCCGAUCUGGCCAAC